GGGGCUGUAGCUCAGUGGUAGAGUGCUUGCCUAGCAUGUGUGAGGCACUGGGUUCGAUUCUCAGCACCA
rnacentral:tRNA from 1 species